UGAUGAAUCACCGAAAUAAUUUUAGCAACAUCGAUUAAUUUAAUUUUAAUUAACGAGAUUUAAACUUAACGAUUUUAUUUGACGAUGUUAUAAGAAUUUCAAUGAAGAACGAAAAUAUCAAAUAUUUCAUUACAGUAAUAACCUUGUUUCGUUGAAACAUAAUAUUACAAAUUACAGAAAUACGUCAAAUUUCAAAUUGUUCAGUGGCGUCCAAACUAUACUUCGAGAGUAGCAAUCGCUACACGCCUACACAUCAUUUUUUAGGUGGCUGAAUGUUCCCGGUAAUUGGGAUUUGGGAUAAUCGAAUAGAAUGCGUAUACAAGUAGGAUG